AUGUUCUAGUUUCUUUUCAAAUUGUAUAAAUCUUUUGCCUUUUACUAAAGAUUUCUGUGGAGAGGAACACUCAGAGUUCUCACUAAUUUUUUUGUGGGGCUAUGCUCUAAAUGACAA